CCAGCUCCACCACUUGUCUGCUGGGUGACCUUGGGCAAGUUGAGAAGCAGUAUGGCCUAGUGGCAAGAACAUGGGCUUGGGAGCCAGAGGUCGUGGGUUCUAAUCCCUGCUCCAUCACUUGUCUGCUGUGUGAUCUUGGGCAAGUCACUUAACCUCUCUAUGCCUCUGUUACCUUAUCUGUAAAAUGGGUUUGAGACUAUGAGCCUCAUGGGGGACAACCUGAUGACCUUGUAUCUACCCCAGCGUUUAGAACAGUGUUUGGCACAUGGUAAGCACUUAACAAAUACCAUAAUAAUUAUUACUAUUAUUAUUCUCUGUGCCUCAGUUACCUCAUCUGUAAAAUGGGGAUUGAAUCUGUAGGCCCAACGUGGUACAGGGACUGUGUCCAACCUGAUUUGCUUGUAUCUCCCUAGUGCUUAGAACAGUGCCUGGCACAUAGUAAGUGCUGAAUAAAUGCUAUUCUUCUUCUUAUUGUUAUUUAACUGUUCUGUCCCUCAGUUUUCUCAUCUGUAAAAUGGGACACAAAUUCCUGCUCUUCAUCCCUCUUUGACUGUUAUCACCAUAUGGAGCAGGGACUGCGUCCAAACUAAUAACCAUGUCUCUAUCUGAGUGCUUGGCACAUAAAAGUGCUUAACAAACACGAAAAUCAUUAUUAUUAAGUAGUAUGAACAGACACCACAACAGCAUAUUGAAUGCCUUUUACCCUUCUUCUCACUGCAUUUCUUUUUCUUUCAGGCAGCAACUGUUCCUCCAGACCAACGCCAUCCUUUUCUCCUCUUUCGCCUGCUCUGAGUUUGUCAUUAUGGGCCUCUUUUUCUUGCUGAUUCAUGGUGGGGAAGAAAGAGGACAAGGGCAUAGGAAAAGCAACAGGAGGGACCUGCUACUGAGAAGCUUUGGCAUAAGAAUUGACAACUACGGAAAGAUGGAAGAUGGGAAGAAGAAAAGAAAGCUCCUGGAGAUAUAACUUGAAUUUGACUUGACAGUCUUUACUCAAAAUGAUUGAGAAACAUGAAUGCCUCUUAGAAGAAAAGGUCAAUUCUCCCUGUUUUGUAGAGUCUGUAAAUAGAAGGCCCACGGGAUCGUGCAAAACAAAGUUGAGGGAAACCAGAGUGUCGUGGUGCCUUGCAAGGGUUUAUGACAACUUUGUCCCUGCAAUCUCACAGAGAUACAUGUACCCAUCCUUCAAAAUAG
rnacentral:lncRNA from 1 species